CUUUAUUCAACCUAGGAUCGCCUGGUUGGUACUAAUGAGCUUUGCUGCUGUUCAGUCACCCAGUCGAGUCCGAUUCUUCGCAGCCCUGUGGACUGCAGCCUGCCAGGCCUCUCUGUCCCUCCCUAUCUCCCAGAGUUGGCCCAGGUUCAUGUCCAAUGAAUCAGCAAUGCUAGUGAGAUUUGGUGGCAGCAGCAGGACAAAGGGGAUUUCUGAUGGCUUUGGAGACAGCAGGAGACAGGUGUGGCGCCCCGUGAACCCUUUGGGCUCACUGUCUUUCUGGCCAUUUCCAAGGAUCCUGGGAAAUCAGUCCUGAAUAUUCACUGGAAGGAUUGAUGCAGAAGCUGAAGCUCCAAUACUUUGGCCACCUGAUGGGAAGAACCAGCUCACUGGAAAAGACCCUGAUGCUGGGCAAG
ensembl:lncRNA